GACAGAGGUGGCAAGCGUUGUUCGGAAUCACUGGGCUUAAAGCGCAUGUAGGCGGUCUGGUAAGUGCCUUGUGAAAUCCCCCGGCUCAACCGGGGAAUUGCUCGGUAGACUGCCGGACUUGAGGUAGGUAGGGGCGAGUGGAACUCAUGGUGGAGCGGUGGAAUGCGUAGAUAUCAUGAGGAACGCCGGAGGUGAAAACGACUCGCUGGGCCUGUCCUGACGCUGAGGUGCGAAAGCCAGGGGAG
rnacentral:rRNA from 1 species